GACGUAGGGUGCGAGCGUUAAUCGGAAUUACUGGGCGUAAAGCGUGCGCAGGCGGCGCGUUAAGACAGGUGUGAAAGCCCCGAGCUUAACUUGGGAAUUGCGCUUGUGACUGGCGUGCUGGAGUGUGGCAGAGGGAGGUGGAAUUCCACGUGUAGCAGUGAAAUGCGUAGAGAUGUGGAGGAACACCGAUGGCGAAGGCAGCCUCCUGGGCCAGCACUGACGCUCAUGCACGAAAGCGUGGGGAGCAAACAGG
rnacentral:rRNA from 1 species